GCCUGGGUGGCUCAGUGGUUGAGCGCCUGCCUUCCGCCCAGGGUGUGACCCCAGAGUUCUAGGUUCAAGUCCUACAUCAGGCU
rnacentral:tRNA from 1 species